GACGAACGCUGGCGGCGUGCUUAACACAUGCAAGUCGAACGGAAAGGCCCUGCUUUUGUGGGGUGCUCGAGUGGCGAACGGGUGAGUAACACGUGAGUAACCUGCCCUUGACUUUGGGAUAACUUCAGGAAACUGGGGCUAAUACCGGAUAGGAGCUCCUGCUGCAUGGUGGGGGUUGGAAAGUUUCGGCGGUGGGGGAUGGACUCGCGGCUUAUCAGCUUGUUGGUGGGGUAGUGGCUUACCAAGGCUUUGACGGGUAGCCGGCCUGAGCGGGUGACCGGCCACAUUGGGACUGAGAGACGGCCCAGACUCCUACGGGAGGAAGCAGUGGAGAAUAAUGCAGAAUGGGCGGAAGACUGAUGCAGGAACGCCGCGUGCGAGAUGACGGUCUUCGGGUUGUAAACCGCUUUCGCCUGUGACGAAGAGUGAGUGACGGGAAAGGGUAAAGAAGCCGCGGCUAACUACG
rnacentral:rRNA from 1 species